rnacentral:rRNA from 1 species
CUACGGGGGGCACCAGUCGAGAAUCUUCCGCAAUGGCCGAAAGGCUGACGGAGCGACGCCGCGUGAUUGAUGAAGCCCUUCGGGGUGUAAAAAUCUUUUCUCUGGGACGAAUCCAUGACGGUACCAGAGGAAUAAGGGGCUGCUAAUCUCGGGCCAGCAGCAGCGGUAAUACGAGAGCCCCGAGCGUUAUCCGGAUUUAUUGGGCGUAAAGGGUACGUAGGCGGUCCUGUAAGUUGGCGGUCAAAUCUAUCGGCUCAACCGAUAAACUGCCGUCAAAACUCCAGGACUAGAGACUGGGAAGGCCAGUGGAAUUGCCGGUGUAGGGGUAAAAUCCGUUAAUAUCGGCAAGAACACCAAAUGCGAAGGCAGCUGGCUGGAACAGUUCUGACGCUAAGGUACGAAAGCGUGGGUAGCGAAUGGGAUUAGAUACCCCGGUAGUC